AGAGUUUGAUCAUGGCUCAGGACGAACGCUGGCGGCGCGCCUAACACAUGCAAGUCGAACGGAGCUACUUUGACAGAUUCCUUCGGGAUGACGUUGAUUUAGCUUAGUGGCGAACGGGUGAGUAACACGUGAGCAACCUACCUUUCAGAGGGGGACAACAGUUGGAAACGACUGCUAAUACCGCAUAAGACCACGCUAUGGCAUCGUAGAGGGGUCAAAGGAGAAAUCCGCUGAAAGAUGGGCUCGCGUCCAAUUAGCUAGAUGGUGAGGUAACGGCUCACCAUGGCGACGAUUGGUAGCCGG
rnacentral:rRNA from 1 species